rnacentral:rRNA from 1 species
AUUGAACGCUGGCGGCAUGCCUUACACAUGCAAGUCGAACGGCAGCACGGGAGCAAUCCUGGUGGCGAGUGGCGAACGGGUGAGUAAUACAUCGGAACGUGCCCAGUAGUGGGGGAUAGCCCGGCGAAAGCCGGAUUAAUACCGCAUACGACCUAUGGGUGAAAGCGGGGGAUCGCAAGACCUCGCGCUAUUGGAGCGGCCGAUGGCAGAUUAGCUUGUUGUGGGUAAAAGCCUACCAAGGCGACGAUCUGUAGCUGGUCUGAGAGGACGACCAGCCACACUGGGACUGAGACACGGCCCAGACUCCUACGGGAGGCAGCAGUGGGGAAUUUUGGACAAUGGGCGCAAGCCUGAUCCAGCCAUGCCGCGUGCGGGAAGAAGGCCUCGGUUGUAACGACUUUGUCUAGGAAGAACGACGCUGAGCGUAAUAUACUCGG